UUUGACAACCCUGCCAAAAGUUUGAAUGAUGAAAAGUAUGAUGUAAGGUUAUCUCACAAGAGAACAAUACUGAAAUAAAUAAGUUUCGAGUAAACAACUUUUGUUUUUAGUUAACAGCUGAACUUGACAUUGGUUUAUACUUGACACACGAGUGAACUACUGGGGCUCUACUGAAUGUGAAGCAUUUAUUAUAAAAAAAUCAUCACCAGUAUAUUAAGUUUGUUGGAAUAUGUACACAAAUAGUACACAACUCAGGAAACAAACAGGAUUCACGGCUCGUUACAUGGGGGGUGGGUCAAAAAUCUUCAAAAUUUGCAUUAACUAAUACUUGAACAUACAGAUUAUAAAAAUAAUUACGAAUUCUUAAAUAAUAUGAAUUAUUAUUACGGGAGGCCGUGUUGGCGUAACGAUCACAGCACUUGUUUUUUGGGUGUUGCGAUGGUGGUUGCGGAUCGAUCCUCGCACAUGACAAACAUUUGUAUUGGCCAUACGGAUAUUUGCUGUGGUCUGGGUUUAAAUGUUGAACAAAGUGAAAUUAGAAUAAAAAUUAAAGGAUAUAUACAUUUU